rnacentral:misc_RNA from 1 species
GAUGAAGAACGUAGCGAAAUGCGAUAAGUAAUGUGAAUUGCAGAAUUCAGUGAAUCAUCGAAUCUUUGAACGCAUCUUGCGCUCCUUGGUAUUCCGAGGAGCAUGCCUGUUUGAGUGUCAUUUGAACCCUCAAAACCAUGUUCAAUUCAUUGGACGGUGGCUUUGGACUUGGGGGCUGCAGGCUUUUUCCCUUCGAGAAAGGUCUGCUCCCCUGAAAUGCAUCAGUGGUAUCUGGAGCGGAAACCGCCAGGUGUGAUAACAUCAUCUACGCCUUUGGUAUGCCGCACAUUGUGCUGCUUCCAACGCGCCCAUUAUUGACAAACUUGACCUCAAAUCAGGUAGGACUACCCGCUGAACUUAAGCAUAUCAAUAAGCGGAGGA